AGGACGAACGCUGGCGGCGUGCUUAACACAUGCAAGUCGAACGAUGAAGCCCUUCGGGGUGGAUUAGUGGCGAACGGGUGAGUAACACGUGGGCAAUCUGCCCUUCACUCUGGGACAAGCCCUGGAAACGGGGUCUAAUACCGGAUAACACUCCUGCCUGCAUGGGCGGGGGUUAAAAGCUCCGGCGGUGAAGGAUGAGCCCGCGGCCUAUCAGCUUGUUGGUGGGGUAAUGGCCUACCAAGGCGACGACGGGUA
rnacentral:rRNA from 1 species